rnacentral:ribozyme from 1 species
AGCUUCUAUCACAAGGGGUAAAGUAUGGAUCUGAAGCCUCUCGAGAGAUAGUAAACGCUCUCCUUAUUCUUCUUCUACUCAAUACGUUCACGGCCUAUAGAGCGGUAACACGUCCCUCCAAAUAACUAAAUUUGAGUAUACGGGGAUACUUAAUACCAAAAAAGGAAGGAUGAUUCAACUUAAUUCAGAGGA